rnacentral:rRNA from 1 species
AUGCCGCAGAAGAGGCUCCGCCGCCGCCGCAGGAGGUCUCCUCGCCGGCGCCGUGGUGAAGAAGGCGCAUCUUUAUCUGCCCCCCUUGUCGAAUCGGAUAGCAGCAGCAGCACGACUUCCUGCACACGGGCGCCCGAACCCCUCGACGAGCAGCCCGACGCCCGGCCGGCCCGCGAGUACGAGUCGAGGUACCAUGGGAUCCUCGCCUCGCGCCUAUCCCAGCUGCCGCUACCAGCCUGCGCUGACGAGGAAGGCCCAAAUCUCCCCUCCGACGAAACCGUCGAAGCCCUCGUUCGUUCUUCCUUCUACGACGACGAGCUGCGGGCUGCUCUGGUAGAGUACCAAGCCCACAAGCUCUUGCGCCGACCAGAUGAUGCCCAGGGACGAGAUGGAGAUUAUGGAGAAGUUGAUUCGUCCUCCUCACUGAUGGAUGAUAUCACCGAGGAGGAGUUCUCCAGAGACCGUGAAGUGCUCAGCUCUCGCAGACACGAAAUUGAUCACACUGAGGCUGAAUUGGAUGAAGAGGAGGCGGACAGUCUCGAUCGUAUCCAUGCACGCUAUCACAAGUACGCACGAUAUCGCCUCAAAGCUUGCCUGGUUAGUCUCUCUCGUUUCAAUUCAAUGCUCCUCCUGCAUGCCUGAAUGCCUAUUGACGAUGCUGCACUGGAAUGCAAGUACACUCCAGAGCUUGCCUUGGAUUACCUGAGUGAUGGAGCCUUCGGCUGGUGUUUCGACUUGAACCUCUGUUUGCCCGUGUCAUUGAGCGACUAUCAGCGGCUAGUCCCUUGUAAUGAAGGGGGCGAUGAGUAUGAAAGUUGGAGUGAAUACCGAGAGUUUUAUAGCACCCCUGAAACUGAUAGAGAUUAUCUGCUGUACUGGGAAACAAUUGUGAAGGAUCUUAAGGUUCCAGAGUGGAUAGCACGUGAGUUAAUUUCGCAGGAGGUUAGAUUCAAGUGUGAUCUGCCGAAGAGGUAUGUGCAGUACGCCAGGAAGAAGCUCAAGGUUGCAGAAGUCAUAGGAUUGAUUCCCAAGGCCGAGAUACCAGCGUAG